rnacentral:rRNA from 1 species
UACGUAGGGGGCUAGCGUUGUCCGGAAUCAUUGGGCGUAAAGCGCGUGUAGGCGGCCCACUAAGUCUGAUGUGAAAGCCCGGGGCUCACCCCCGGAAGUGCAUUGGAAACUGGUGGACUCGAGUCCCGGAGAGGAGAGUGGAAUUCCUGGUGUAGCGGUGAAAUGCGUAGAUAUCAGGAGGAACACCGGUGGCGAAGGCGGCUCUCUGGACGGUGACUGACGCUGAGACGCGAAAGCGUGGGGAGCAAACAGG